GCAGCCGCGGUAAUACGUAGGGGGCAAGCGUUAUCCGGAAUUACUGGGUGUAAAGGGAGCGUAGGCGGCAUGUCAAGCCAGAUGUGAAAGCCCGGGGCUUAACCCCGUGGAUUGCAUUUGGAACUGGCAAGCUAGAGUACAGGAGAGGAAAGCGGAAUUCCUAGUGUAGCGGUGAAAUGCGUAGAUAUUAGGAAGAACACCAGUGGCGAAGGCGGCUUUCUGGACUGAAACUGACGCUGAGGCUCGAAAGCGUGGGGAGCAAACAGGAUUAGAUACCCC
rnacentral:rRNA from 1 species